GUAGUAUGGUGUGGGCAUUUAUGAAUGAGAUCCCUUAACCUUCCUCAUAUCUCAUGAAAAAGUUCACCAUCUAAUUGGAAAAAAACUAGUAAAUUUUUUUCUAAUUUG